rnacentral:lncRNA from 1 species
CUGGAGCAUAUCUUGGUGCUCAUGUAGCAAUCCCCAGAAAAGACGGGGUUCAAAGAGAGGGCCACAGGCUCCACCUACAGGCCACUGGCUGAGUCUCACCACACCACCUGAGCUUCAGCCUGAUACCAGUUACUGCAUGGACACCAGGCCGCGAGCACGUGUGCUGGGCUCACUCUGCCCCGAGAUCUCUCUCACUGUGGUCUGUAGGAGACUAUGAGCUUGGACAAAUUUUGAAAGCAAGACUCAGAAAGCUCUGUGCACCACCCACUUCACAGAGGCUCUCUGUAGCACUGCAGGACGCCUGCUGGGGUGGGGGCACAGUCGGGCCAAGGUCAUAUCUGUCCCCUCACCUGUGCAACUCACCUUCCCAAGGAGACCCCCACCUCCUAUACCUGAGGCCGUGUGUUUUGUGUUUGCGUCUUUCCCCAUAGGUUCAGCUCCACCAGCUCUGACAUUGGCAGUAGCAUUCUAACAGACAUGUCAAGAACUGCUGAAUCAAUCGUGAUGGAAAAAUUCAGCCGGCGAUAUUGGAGAUAAGCGCAUGCGCGUGCACGCACACAUUUGUGUGUAGUUACUAAGCAUUGAGCUUCAGGUUUCGGAAUAGAUCACAAGAUGCCCUGGGGUUUUGCAAGUACUGAAUAUGGAUCACGAACUGCUUCUCACCAGGUAGCGGCUCAGACUCAUUGCUGCUUGUGCUUUCUGAUUGGAGUGGACCCUGAGACCCUUCUGUUCUCCAGCAGACGAUCCGUCCGAGAUAUGAGACACACGGGCUUUGCGUGUGUCUCUCCUCCAGUACCAUACACAUACGUGUUCUGUUUCACCAAUCCCUGCGGAUCCUGACUUUUAAGAAAUAACACGUGCAGAGAUAAAUCUCAGUUGGUUUUUACUUUGAAAAAAUUUGCCAUGGAUGCAGUUGAAAUAGCCAGAUCUUUAAAACAAUUAAAAUGGCUGAGUUUGUAAAUGUCAAUGUGUGUCUUUUUAGGAACAUAGGUAUUGCAUAAAUAAAAUGCAUUUAGAUUUGCUAACAGACAUGAGUGCGUGAUCUCUAUUAGUUUUGUAUUGUAUUGUGAAUUCAGAAUUAUAAAACCUCUUGAAGAUACCUUUUCUGGCAUGUGUGAUAUAAGCUUUCUCUUCCUUUACCUGGUUCUCUUCUCCCAGCCCCUUGACAGUCACGGAAGAUAAAUACACAAAGGUACUCUGAGGAAACAAAUGCUUGGUUAUAAUAUGGAGUAAAAACAGCCUCUCAUGUUAAAACAUGCAAUUACCUUGUUUCCUUGCAAUAUUUGGUGUUUAAUUUUAAUGAUGGUUAUAUUGCAAACUGUUAUCUUUAGGACCG